rnacentral:rRNA from 1 species
UUCCAGACUCCUACGGGAGGCAGCAGUGGGGAAUAUUGCACAAUGGGGGGAACCCUGAUGCAGCGACGCCGCGUGAGUGAAGAAGUAUCUCGGUACGUAAAGCUCUAUCAGCAGGGAAGAAAAUGACGGUACCUGACUAAGAAGCCCCGGCUAACUACGUGCCAGCAGCCGCGGUAAUACGUAGGGGGCAAGCGUUAUCCGGAUUUACUGGGUGUAAAGGGGGCGCAGACGGCGAUGCAAGCCAGGAGUGAAAGCCCGGGGCCCAACCCCGGGACUGCUCUUGGAACUGCGUGGCUGGAGUGCAGGAGGGGCAGGCGGAAUUCCUGGUGUAGCGGUGAAAUGCGUAGAUAUCAGGAGGAACACCGGUGGCGAAGGCGGCCUGCUGGACUGCAACUGACGUUGAGGCCCGAAAGCGUGGGGAGCAAACAGGAUUAGAUACCCUGGUA